rnacentral:lncRNA from 1 species
GCUUGGGAUUUUUGGGGAGUUUUUCAAUGGCCAAUUAGAUGCCAAUGCUGGUGGAUUUUUCUUUUCUGAUGAUAUCACCAACUCAAUAGUAAGCAUGUUUGUGCUUACAUGGUAUAUCAUUGAUAUUCGAAUUUUAAAGUUCAUAAUUUAGUUUUUGAUCAUUUGAAAUAUUUUUUUUUUAGCAGCAGGCAAUCACUGCCAUACAUAAAGUUAGCACAUUUAUUUCAAUGCUCUUCUAGUUAA